GCGCGGCGCUGGCCGAGCAGGGGCCCCACCGGGGCGGCCGCCGCCGCCUCCCCGCAGGGGGCGCCCGAGGGCCGCGGCUUGGCAAGGCCUGGGGGCUGAGGCGGUUCCCGGCCGCGGUUCCCGGUCUCACAAACAGGCCGUUUCCUGGCUGGUUUGGUUUCCGUAACGGGAGCGGUGUCACUGGGGAAAGGGGUUCCUGUGGCUGCGCUGAGCUGCGGUGACAGCCAGAGCCCCAGUCUUUCCACAGAAAGCAGCGGCUGGCGCGCGGAGGCGGGCAGAGCAGCGAGACUUCUCGGUAUCGGGACCUGCUGUUCCUUCCUAGGCGAGAGCAGCUGGAAUCCCAGAAAUGGCAUUCCACCAUUGCCAAACGAUGCUGAGCAAAUUGAAAUGAGGUGUCAUGUCACCCAUCACAGCUACAGGUGAGGAUGGCUUUCCUUAUCCACUGGCAACUAGCUGAGAGAAAAAGAAUUUCAGGCAGUUCUCCAAGAAGAUCUAGACCAUCAUUUUCAGCCACGACCUGAAAAACAAGCUUCAAGAGCACAAAAGGACACAAGGUGAUGUCUGUUGUGGUUGUCUGAGG